rnacentral:lncRNA from 1 species
AUGUUUUGCUGGCUUAGAGGUUUUGAUUCCAGAGGGAGGAAUGCUUUGACCAGGAGACAAAACAAUGAUCCCAUUGAUCUGGAAGUGAAGACUGCUGCCCACUUUGGGCUCCUCAUGCCUCUGAGUCAACAGGCAAAGAAGAGAGUUACUGUGUUGGCUGGAAUGAUUGAUCCUGGCUUUCAAGUUUGUAUUGCUGCUGCGGGCACCUGGCUGCAAUGCUCCUCAGCAUACCUGGCCCGAGGAAAGUUGCAGAAAGAUGGCAUGAUAAGAAUGUGAGAGUCAUGCAAAGGUAUGCUGGAUUGGAAUGUAGGGUAAACUUCACCUGUUGGCAAUGACUUAAGCAUGGCCUUGGAAUGAUGCUGUAUGGCUGAUUCACCUGAACAUGUGUUCCGAGCUGGGGAAUCCAGGAGUGGCCAGCCCGAAGAUUCCUUCCUUGUCUAUGAGAAGUAUGAGUCCCCAGCCUAUCCUGAUGGACAGGGGAUGGAGGCCCUGAGUUUUGGGUUGGAUGAAGUUUGCUUAGGUUUCCACUACAUGCCCUGCUUAAGGAGUCUUGACUCCUUCCUGAUUUAAUUGAGGACCCAUCUUCCUGGCAGGAAAAAAUAUAUAUAUGCAACAAAACUUAGGAUUUGAGAAAUUAUUCAAAUAGUUUCUGAGUUGAAGAAAAUUCCACUUGCCUUCAUCAGUUAUAUUUAUAGCACAGUGAGCUCGUUCUCCUUAUUUUACAGACUAAACUGACGUAUAACUGAAAAAUGAUGUUAAGAAAGUACUGUUGCAUUGGGCCUGCUGAUUUGAUGACAUGGAAAGUCCUGACCACAUCCAAAUCCAUUGCCCUUCUUCAGAUCUGUCUCAUUAAAAUGUCCUAGGGCCCAUGAUGCUCAUCUCUAUUUAAAUAUUUUGUUGUUCCUUUGGGACAUAAAUAGGAAAGGUUUCUCAAAGUUUCAGCUGACCGUCCAGGUGCGGUGGCUCAAGCCUGUAAUCCCAGCACUUUGGGAGGUCGAGGCAGGUGGAUCACGAGGUCAGGAGAUCAAGACCAUCCUGGCUAACAUGGUGAAACCCGUCUCUACUAAAAAUACAAAAAACUUAGCCGGGCGUGGUGGUGGGCGCCUGUAGUCCCAGCUACUCGGGAGGCUGAGGCAGGAGAAUGGUGUGAACCGGGGAAGUGGAACUUUCAGUGAACCAAGAUCGCACCACUGCACUCCAGCCUGGGCGACAGAGCAAGACUCCAUCUCAAAAAAAUAAAAUAAAAUAAAAUAAAAAAAAGUUUCAGAUGACCACACUCAGAUCCCCUCGUGCCAGACCUCACAUACUAUGAUGUAGUGUUUUGUAGAUAACAUGGACAGACACCCACCCU